rnacentral:rRNA from 1 species
CCUACGGGGUGCUGCAGUGGGGAAUAUUGCACAAUGGGCGCAAGCCUGAUGCAGCCAUGCCGCGUGUGUGAAGAAGGCCUUCGGGUUGUAAAGCACUUUCAGCGGGGAGGAAGGCGUUAAGGUUAAUAACCUUGGCGAUUGACGUUACCCGCAGAAGAAGCACCAGCUAACUCCGUGCCAGCAGCCGCGGUAAUACGGAGGGUGCAAGCGUUAAUCGGAAUUAAUGGGCGUAAAGCGCACGCAGGCGGUCUGUCAAGUCGGAUGUGAAAUCCCCGGGCUCAACCUGGGAACUGCAUUCGAAACUGGCAGGCUAGAGUCUUGUAGAGGGGGGUAGAAUUCCAGGUGUAGCGGUGAAAUGCGUAGAGAUCUGGAGGAAUACCGGUGGCGAAGGCGGCCCCCUGGACAAAGACUGACGCUCAGGUGCGAAAGCGUGGGGAGCAAACAGGAUUAGAUACCCCUGUAGUC